GAUGAACGCUAGCGGCAGGCCUAACACAUGCAAGUCGAGGGGUAGCAGGAUUAAGCUUGCUUAAUUGCUGACGACCGGCGCACGGGUGCGUAACGCGUAUGCAACCUACCUUAUACUGGGGUAUAGCCCGGAGAAAUUCGGAUUAAUCCCCCAUAGUACUAAUGAAUCGCAUGGUUUAUUAGUUAAAGCAUUGCGGUAUAAGAUGGGCAUGCGUCCUAUCAGCUAGAUGGUGAGGUAACGGCUCACCAUGGCUACGAUAGGUAGGGGGCCUGAGAGGGUGGGCCCCCACACGGGUACUGAGACACGGACCAGACUCCUACGGGAGGCAGCAGUGAGGAAUAUUGGUCAAUGGGCGCAAGCCUGAACCAGCCAUGCCGCGUGCAGGAAGAAUGCCCUAUGGGUUGUAAACUGCUUUUAUUUGGGAAUAAACCUCUUUACGUGUAGAGAGCUGAAGGUACCAAAUGAAUAAGCACCGGCUAACUCCGUGCCAGCCGCCGCCGUAA
rnacentral:rRNA from 1 species